rnacentral:rRNA from 1 species
GACGAACGCUGGCGGCGUGCUUAACACAUGCAAGUCGAACGGUGAAGCGCCUUCCUUUUUGGUGGGUGUGGAUGAGUGGCGAACGGGUGAGUAACACGUGAGUAACCUGCCCCCUUCUUCUGGAUAACCGCAUGAAAGUGUGGCUAAUACGGGAUAUUCUGGGUCUGUCGCAUGAUGGGUCUGGGAAAGAUAUUGUUUCGGUGGGGGAUGGGCUCGCGGCCUAUCAGCUUGUUGGUGGGGUGAUGGCCUACCAAGGCGGUGACGGGUAGCCGGCCUGAGAGGGUGGACGCACAGGCUGGGACUGAGGCACGGGCCAGACUCCUACGGGAGGCAGCGGUAGUGAAGAUUGAACAAUGGGCGCAAGCCUGAUGCAGCGACGCCGCGUGAGGGAUGGAGGCCUUCGGGUUGUGAACCUCGUUCGGAAGUGAAGCAGGCCUGCCUCGUUUGUGGGUGGGUUGACGGUAGCUGGAUAAGAAGCGCCGGCUAACUACGU